rnacentral:tRNA from 1 species
GCCUGAGUGGCUCAGUCGGUUGAGCAUCCGACUUUGGCUCAGGUCAUGAUCUCGCAAUUCAUGAGUUCAAACCCCGUGUCGGGCU